GGCGAAUGUCAUUGAGAUUGUGUGUAAACGAUGAUUUGUGUACCCGUUUUUAUACGAAGCAAAUAAAGAAGUAGCAUAAGUAGGUAUGCCUACAAAUACGUCAAAUCAACAAUAAAGAUAUAUACUCAGAUACUUUCGACUCAUGUCUAAGCACUGGCCAAGUCGUCCUUCUAAUCGAGGUUAGAUAUUCCAAAAGGGCAGUUGGAAAUGAACCUUUCGAGAAUGAAGGUAGUAUUAUACCUACUACGUCGGGAAACUCCCACGUCGUAACAAAUCGAAAAAGAACAACUUCUGAGCGACACCUAGUAAGGACAAUCAACUUCAACCACCCAAGGCAAGAGGUGUUUGACAUCCAAGGACAUUAGGAAAAACAUGAUAUAAAUUCUGGAACACAUGCUAUAAAUUCUGAAGUUACCCCACUUCACAAGGAUAAAUAUCAAUGAACUUGCCGAAAUCUUCAGGACAAAGUUGGUCCCAAGGUUCGACUUUGUUUUGAAUGAAAUGGUGUUGAUGAGCAAAGUGAUACCAGGAAAUAACUUGGUCUUUGGGAUUUCUCAUGAUGUAGAUAAGCUGAUAAAAUAAAUUCGUUAAUGCACAAGUACCUGGCCCGAUUUCCAAGCAUGAAAAAACUGGCGAAAAGUGUUUCAUCUUUGCAAGAAGAUCAGGUUCAUUGCUGUACAGUAUUUGAUGGAUGAUUUCACGGAGCCAAGUUGUGCCUGUUCCGCAGUCUCUCGUUUUUUCUAUAGGCAAGCGGGGGGAGGAUUCCUCACUAGCACCGUGACUUCAACUACACUUCACAGUAAACCUAUGAAUGUGACUACAACGCCUCGCUCUUUAGCAGUGUACCACAACCGCAACGUGUAUUUGUUCGCUUCGCUGAAUUUCAAUAUUUUGCUCGACGCCGCAAGUUCUAGUUCACAGCUUUUGUGUGUGACGUCAGAACUGUUUUAUAUAGUUACAAAGUUCUUAUGGCGAGCGUCGAGCAGCGUUUGUUCCUGUCCUUAGCUAACGAAAGCAUGUUUAAACCAGACUCCAGCUCCGCUCCGGUUUGGCCAAAAGUAGCUGGAGUACGGCUCGUGGACAUCUCUAUCGUUUUGUACGGUAAAGUAAAAUGUCCAGUCACGCAACUCCAACACUAUCUAACUUCAAAUUAAUUACAUGAUUUUUAGAAAUUUAAAAUAAAACUUUUAAACUA